rnacentral:rRNA from 1 species
GCUACUGCCAUCAGAGUUCGAUUAAGCCAUGUUAGUCGAGGGUACCUCUUCUUCUUCGGAGGAUGAGGUAACCCGGCGGACGGCUCAGUAACACGUGGAUAACUUGCCCUUGGGUCUGGGAUAACCCCUGGGAAACUGGGGCUAAUACCGGAUAGAGCAUCAAUCGCUGGAAUGCAUGAUGCUCGAAAACUACGGUGCCCAAGGAUAGGUCUGCGGCUGAUUAGGUUGUUGUUGAUGUAAUGGACCAACAAGCCUACGAUCGGUACGGGUUGUGAGAGCAAUAGCCCGGAGAUGGGUUCUGAGAAAAGAACCCAGGUCCUACGGGACGCAUCAGGCGCGAAAACUUUACAAUGUGCGAAAGCACGAUAAGGGAACUCUGAGUGCCCCCUAAGGGGGCUGUUCUAGUGUCUAAAAAGCAAUAGAAGUAAGGGCUGGGCAAGACCGGUGCCAGCCGCCGCGGUAACACCGGCAGCCCAAGUGGUAGCCACGUUUAUUGGGUCUAAAGCGUUCGUAGCCGGCUUGGUAAGUUCCUUGGUAAAUUUAGCCGCUUAACGGUUAAGCUUUCAGGGAAUACUGCUUGGCUUGGGACUGGGAGAGGUCAGAGGUACUCCAGGGGUAGGGGUGAAAUCCAUUAAUCCUUGGGGGACCACCGGUAGCGAAGGCGUCUGACCAGACCAGCUCCGACGGUGAGGGACGAAGGCUAGGGGCGCGAACCGGAUUAGAUACCCGGGUAGUCCUAGCUGUAAACGAUGCGGGCUAGGUGUUGGCAUUACUGCGAGUGGUGCCAGUGCCGAAGGGAAGCCGUUAAGCUCGCCAUCUGGGGAGUACGGUCGCAAGGCUUAAACUUAAAGGAAUUGGCGGGGGAGCACCACAACGGGUGGAGCCUGCGGUUCAAUUGGAUCAACGCCGGA